rnacentral:lncRNA from 1 species
CCUGCUCUCCUGAGUGCUGCUCCAGUGAGGGGCAGGAGGACCAAGUUUGUUGUCCUAGCUCUACUGCCUAUUCCAUGGACAUACUAGGAAAGUCUGAUAAUGCCUUUAAGGAACUCCUUCCUCGGGUGUGACAAUGGAAAUUAAAGUAGGACUCACUUGCUCACAGAGAUUCAGUGAGGACCAAGAGCUAAGCAUCCUGCUUGACCCGGCUGUGGGCAUCAGAAAAAAACGUACAGGCCCUCUGCAGCCACCCAUGGAAACAGAAGAGAUUGCAUGCAGAGAUAGAGACACCAAGCUUUGAUACUGCAUAACUAUUCAGGAAUGGACCUGGGAUGCAGCAGACCGGAAACCCAGCCACGGGAGCAGCAGGUACAGAGAUGAGAAGAGCGGGUCCAGGGAGUGACUUUUACCCAGAUCGAGGCCCUGUUCCUGGUGCAAACUGUCCAACAGCAUCCACUGAGCUGU